CUCCAGAUGUUGCUGAACUACAACUCCCAUGAUUCCAUGAAUGAAAUAGAUCGGUUGAGAAUCAUGGGAAUUGUAGUUCAGCAACAUCUGGAG
rnacentral:miRNA from 1 species